CUAGCGCCUCCAGAUUCUUGACUUUUAGAUAUGCUCACCACACAUCCAAUUCGUGACACGAUAUUUGUGGGUUCUAUCUCAAAAUAAAUUUAUAACGAGUGGAAUUCGUCCCGCUGUGUGAUGUACAGAUUUCUAUUUCAAAAUAAAUUUAUAACGAGUGGAAUUGUCUCUUCCUUAUCUUUUCAACGUGGUAUCCUCAACUUGUCUUGAUGUCUAUCAUAAGUUUUUGUUACGUGUCCUAUCUUUUCGUAGGCACGUUAGUUAUUAGCCAAAAAGAAGUGUUUCUAUAUUUUCUUCACGAUUAAUAUAGAUUUCCCUUGUUUGAUUUGUCUCUGUGUUGUUAAAAGAACGAGACGAUAUCCAAUUCUAUUAUGUCUUUACAUCUUUUUCAAAAGCGAGGUUCCAAAAUUUCCCGUCAAUGUGAUCGGAUCGAAGUAGAAAGGUUGAAGAUCUCUUUCAUAUAAGAAAAUGUAACUAAGGAACUCCCGGUAGACACCAGUGGAUGCAAUCUGCAAAGUUUUUGGGAUCAGAUCUCUGUUCCUUGGUCAAAAGCUUGCCUCGACGCUCCCCGUAAAUUGACUGCUUGAACCAGUGCCCCAGUGUGGAUGGUCAAUUGGGUGGGACUCAUUGAAGCAGUUCUCAUCACUUCCGGGCUUCCACUCCCAGCUCCUACAACAGAUAAGUUAGCUUUCUUUUCUUAUUGUGCUUGAAUGGAUGAGAUUUUGGGGGAAUUGCUUUAAAUUUGGAGAUGUUAAAAGACUCGUGAGGUAACGUUCUCGUUUCUUGUUUCUGUUUCCUUCUUUUUAAAUGAAGGAAAUAGAAUUUUAUGGCUCAACGCCCAUAGAUUCAAGAAUAA